rnacentral:rRNA from 1 species
AUUGAACGCUGGCGGCAGGCCUAACACAUGCAAGUCGAGCGGAUGAAGGGAGCUUGCUCCUGGAUUCAGCGGCGGACAGGUGAGUAAUGCCUAGGAAUCUGCCUGGUAGUGGGGGAUAACGUCCGGAAACGGGCGCUAAUACCGCAUACGUCCUGAGGGAGAAAGUGGGGGAUCUUCGGACCUCACGCUAUCAGAUGAGCCUAGGUCGGAUUAGCUAGUUGGUGGGGUAAAGGCCUACCAAGGCGACGAUCCGUAACUGGUCUGAGAGGAUGAUCAGUCACACUGGAACUGAGACACGGUCCAGACUCCUACAGGAGGCAGCAGUGGGGAAUAUUGGACAAUGGGCGAAAGCCUGAUCCAGCCAUGCCGCGUGUGUGAAGAAGGUCUUCGGAUUGUAAAGCACUUUAAGUUGGGAGGAAGGGCAGUAAGUUAAUACCUUGCUGUUUUGACGUUACCAACAGAAUAAGCACCGGCUAACUUCGUG